ACCUUCGGGUCAAAGGUUGCUUAGGCAGUCGCUGUACGAUGAGCCUGCGUUGGAUUAGCUAGUUGGUGAGGUAAAGGCUCACCAAGGCGAUGAUCCAUAGCUGUUCUGAGAGGAAGAUCAGCCACACUGGGACUGAGACACGGCCCAGACUCCUACGGGAGGCAGCAGUGGGGAAUAUUGGACAAUGGGGGCAACCCUGAUCCAGCAAUACCACGUGUGUGAAGAAGGCCUUAGGGUUGUAAAGCACUUUAGUUAGGGAGGAAGGUUAUCAGGUUAAGAGCUAGAUAAUUUGACGUUACCUAAAGAAUAAGCACCGGCUAACUCCGUGCCAGCAGCCGCGGUAAUACGGAGGGUGCGAGCGUUAAUCGGAAUUACUGGGCGUAAAGGGUUCGUAGGUGGUUAGAUAAGUCAGAUGUGAAAGCCCUGGGCUCAACCUGGGAACUGCAUUUGAUACUGUUUAACUAGAGUUUACUAGAGGAUUGGGGAAUUUCCGGUGUAGCGGUGAAAUGCGUAGAGAUCGGAAGGAACAUCAAUGGCGAAGGCAACAAUCUGGGGUUAAACUGACACUGAGGGACGAAAGCGUGGGUAGCAAACAGGAUUAGAUACCCUGGUAGUCCACGCUGUAAACGAUGAGUACUAGCUGUUGGGUCUGGUGUAAAAGACUUAGUGGCGCAGCUAACGCGAUAAGUACUCCGCCUGGGGACUACGGCCGCAAGGUUAAAACUCAAAGGAAUUGACGGGGACCCGCACAAGCGGUGGAGCAUGUGGUUUAAUUCGAUGCAACGCGAAGAACCUUACCUGCCCUUGACAUCCAUAGAAGAUCUGAGAGAUUGGAUUGUGCCUUCGGGAACUAUGAGACAGGUGCUGCAUGGCUGUCGUCAGCUCGUGUUGUGAAAUGUUGGGUUAAGUCCCGCAACGAGCGCAACCCUUAUUUUUAGUUGCCAUCAUUAAGUUGGGCACUCUAGAGAGACUGCCGCUGAUAAGGCGGAGGAAGGUGGGGACGACGUCAAGUCAUCAUGGCCCUUACGGGCAGGGCUACACACGUGCUACAAUGGGCAUUACAGAGGGAAGCGAAGCUGCGAGGUGGAGCGAAACUCAGAAAGGUGUUCGUAGUCCGGAUUGCUCUCUGCAACUCGAGAGCAUGAAGUCGGAAUCGCUAGUAAUCGCGGAUCAGAAUGCCGCGGUGAAUACGUUCCCGGGUCUUGUACACACCGCCCGUCACACCAUGGGAGUGGGUUGCAAAAGAAGUAGAUAGUCUAACCG
rnacentral:rRNA from 1 species